CUGGUCCUCGGUAGUGGCUUUCGGGUGCCGGAGAGGCCCCCGCGAGCCUCGAUCGAAGACCGG
rnacentral:ncRNA from 1 species